GACGAACGCUGGCGGCGUGCCUAAUACAUGCAAGUCGAGCGGACAGAAGGGAGCUUGCUCCCGGAAGUUAGCGGCGGACGGGUGAGUAACACGUGGGCAACCUACCCUGUAGAUCGGGAUAACAUCGAGAAAUCGGUGCUAAUACCGGAUAAUCAUUUGAAGUGCAUGCUUCGAAUGUAAAAGAUGGCUCCGGCUAUCACUACGGGAUGGGCCCGCGGCGCAUUAGCUAGUUGGUAAGGUAAUGGCUGACCAAGGCAACGAUGCGUAGCCGACCUGGUGGGGGAAUCGGCCACACUGGGACUGAGACACGGCCCAGACUCCAACGGGAGGCAGCAGUAGGGAAUCUUCCGCAAUGGACGAAGGUCUGACGGAGCAACGCCGCGUGAGUGAUGAAGGUUUUCGGAUCGUAAAGCUCUGUUGUUAGGGAAGAACAAGUGCCGUUUGAAUAAGGCGGCACCUUGACGGUACCUAACAGAAAGCCACGGCUAACUACGUGCCAGCCGCCGCCGUAAGAC
rnacentral:rRNA from 1 species